rnacentral:rRNA from 1 species
GAGUUUGAUCAUGGCUCAGAUUGAACGCUGGCGGCAUGCCUUACACAUGCAAGUCGAACGGCAGCACGGGAGCUUGCUCCUGGUGGCGAGUGGCGAACGGGUGAGUAAUGCAUCGGAACGUAUCCUGGAGUGGGGGAUAACGUAGCGAAAGUUACGCUAAUACCGCAUAUUCUGUGAGCAGGAAAGCGGGGGACCUUCGGGCCUCGCGCUCUUGGAGCGGCCGAUGUCGGAUUAGCUAGUUGGUGAGGUAAAGGCUCACCAAGGCGACGAUCCGUAGCAGGUCUGAGAGGAUGAUCUGCACACUGGAACUGAGACACGGUCCAGACUCCUACGGGAGGCAGCAGUGGGGAAUUUUGGACAAUGGGGGCAACCCUGAUCCAGCCAUGCCGCGUGAGUGAAGAAGGCCUCGGUU